rnacentral:lncRNA from 1 species
AUGGAAUGGCCGCGUCACCCCAUGCGCUGGAACCGCUACUGCAUCUCUACAUUACGUCAGUUCCUGCCACAAUUAGAGCUGAGCGGAGGACGAGAGAUGGCUGAGGAACACUGCCUCAAGCUGCAAAGCCUUCUGGGAGAAUACAGGAUAUCUGGGGUUUCCCCCGCACCUUCCUUUCUCAGAGGUUCGGCCAAUCAUGGAAGCCGUUCACAGCACAGGGGUUCAUAAGGUCCCAAACGUGGAGUUUGCCCUGGCAGUCUAUGUGCACCCGUACCCCGUCUUUUAGGUUGAAUCUCACAGAAUGUACCAAGAACACAUCCAGGUCAUGUUUCUCUACUAAGUCACAAAAAAAAAAAAAAAUAAGUUAUGCUAUAUAUAUAUAUACAUACAUACAUACAUACAUACAUACAGUGUCACAUAAUCCUUCAGAGAUCAUUCUAAUAUGCUGAUUUGCUGCUCAAUAAUUUCUGAUUAUUUUCUGAUUUUUAUCAAUGUUGAAAACAUUUGCUUUAUAUUUUUGUGGAAACAGUUACAUUUUCUCAGGAUCCUUUGAUAAAUAGAAAAUUCAGCAUUUAUUUAAAAUAUAAAUCUGUGACAUUGUUGAUGUAUUUUUCUGACACUUUUAAUCAAUUUAAUGCAUCUUUGCUGAAUAAAACUUAAGUUCAGGAGCAUUAUUGUUGCAAUUUCUCAAAAAUAAAAAUGUCCAAUUGUAUUGUACUGAUGAGAGAUUGCGUGCAAUUUGCUUAUUAUUGAUUUAUUUUUUUUUAUUUUUGGACAAGCAAUGUUUUGUUUUCUUUUGAUAAAGAGGUAAAAUUUCAACUCAGUAUUUGCUUGACAGUUUAGCACUUAAUUCCUUUGUAGAUAAUUUUAUAUUUUAAGUGCACACUUUCAAGCACAUUACUAAAUUAAAGUUGAUUAUUGAAGCACAUUUAAAUGCUGAAAUUGCACAUUAUGUGAUAUUAAUGCUGUAGAAUAA